GGGAGGACUUGUCCACUCACAGUAGUCACACACUGAAUUUUAUCCGGACACAAACACCUCAUAAAGGGAAACGUAGGCUACAACCCAUCUACGAGUUCUGGUUAAAUUGAACUGGUCUUAGUCCUUCGUGGUGAAGGUGAUCUUGAAGAGGCCUUACCUUUUCACCGCUCAAUGCCCAGGGACUUCCCUCUUCAUCGUAAUGAUAUUAAUUGUGAUGGGGAACUUGCAUGGACCAAUAGAGGACCAGAGUAGCUUGAGGACCAACACAAACAAUGUCUAACUCAGGUGUGCAUCGGGCUGCCUUUGGCCCUGGGAACAGCCUGAACUCUGGCCUCUCUCGGUAGAGAGCCACAGCUGCCGUGGAAACCCAGAGAUCGCUCCACAGAGUGGCUGUUCGCACGUAACCUCAGCGGACUCUGGAAAAAUGAACAGGCAUUAAAAUGAAUGUGGUGGGUUUUUUAAACUUUGAAUCCAAAAUAAGACAUUGGCCUUUCUCAAAAAAGUCAAAUAUUAUUAGCUGACAUUAAAGUCAAUUGCAGUGUUAAUGCAAACGUCUACUCACUAGAUGAAUGAACACAGUUUCAGUUGCAUUUUCCUCUAGAUAAAUAAAGUAUUUUUGAGUGACACCAUUUAAACGUUUUUCAACGUACAUCUAUUUCAUGACUUAUUUUUAUAUCCAAAUUGUAAUAUCAUGCUGCAACAACAACCAAUUAAACAGAUUUCUGAAAAACGUCAGCCUUCUUUUUUCAAUUCCAUUAUUUUUUGGGCAUUUUUUGCCUUUGAAAGCCAGUAGAGAGGGACAGGAAAAAUAGGUGGAGAGAGAGAGAGCAGGGUAAGACAUUCAACAAAGGUCUCACGGCCAGGACUUGAACUGUGGAUGUUGCAGUUAUGUAGUACGUGUCUUAACCUUUAGGCUACCAGGGAGCCUCCAUUGUCACCCUUCUAAACCUUCCAACAAAUACUCGCCAUACUCGACAUGCCAUUUAAUACUUUAAAAUGAUCGCUCCCUGUGUCCCCCAUGUCCCACCUCAGCAUCUCAAAGAAAUACAUCACAUUAAGGAAGCAACAUUCCCUCUCUCUUCUCUUUAAUUCAGUGGUAGAACAGUGCAAUUGUAUUACAACUUCACAACUACAAGUUUUGAAUGGUUUUGUAGAAUGUAGAAUAAUAGGUGGCUAGCUUUCAUGUGUGUAGUGUGAG